UAUUGUUUGACCCUUGAAUUUUUAAAUUUGCAGUUAAAGAAAGAAGAAAAUCUAUCAAGCUUCUUGAGUUUUUUUAACAUUCUUGUUACAUUACUGAGAUUCAAGAUAAGGUUGCAACAGAAAUCGAAAAAACAACAAAAAUGAGAAACAAGGUCACAAAUGUUGUAGAAUUUGCAAACGGUGCGAGUGAAGAAAGCCUAGAAAAGAUGCAGAAUCUUCAUGCAGAUUUCAACAGAACUAUCAUGCAGUUCCAGUGGAUGAAACUUUUAGGUGGAAACAAUACCAUCAGACACCAGAUUUAUAUGCUUUGCGGGGUGAUGAUGUAUCUAUUGGUUAUGAUGUGAAGAAAGGAGAUUACCAUACCUUAUCAGCCAUAUGCGAUAGGCAGGGUCAAGUUUGAUGCAUUCGAACCCCGAAAGAUGGUUUCAUCACAUUGUUGCUUUCAUCCACAAAGCAUCUUUAAGUUUACAGCUUUGCAGAAACACAAGAGGGACAAAGAAUUUGUUUGGCUCAAGAAUUUGCGUAUGUGCUGCAGAUGAAGGAAGAUCUUUGCUUCUAUUUAGUUAAGUUAUUUCAUUUUCAAGGUGAAUGAAAACAAAAGUGCAAAUGCUUAAUCUUCACAUUGAUGGUGAUACAGAGUUGAUCCAUGAUCUAGCAUACUCGUACUUGGUGCAAUUAGA